rnacentral:rRNA from 1 species
GGCGAACGGCUGAGGAACACGUACGCACCGACCCUCCGGUGGGGAAUAACCCCGCGAAAGCGGGGCUAACACCGCGUACGCUCGCGAGAGGAAAGCAGCGAUGCGCCGGGGGACGGGCGUGCGGCCCAUCAGAUAGUUGGCGGGGUAACGGCUCACCAAGUCGAUGACGGGUCGCUGGUCUGUGAGGACGAUCAGCCAGACUGGGACUGCGACACGGCCCAGACACCUACGGGUGGCAGCAGUCGAGAAUUUUUCUCAAUGGGGGAAACCCUGAAGGAGCGACGCCGCGUGGAGGAUGAAGGCUUUCGGGUUGUAAACUCCUGUCGAGGGGGAACAAGAUGCCGUGCAGAGCGGCGUUUGAGUGAUCCCUGGAGGAAGCACGGGCUAAGUUCGUGCCAGCAGCCGCGGUAAGACGAACCGUGCGAACGUUAUUCGGAAUCACUGGGCUUAAAGCGCGUGUAGGCGGCCUGGCCCGUCUGACGCUGAAAUCCCCCGGCUCAACCGGGGAAGCGGCGGAGAUACGACCAGGCUGGAGGGGGGUAGGGGGGACGGGAACUUCCGGUGGAGCGGUGAAAUGCGUUGAGAUCGGAAGGAACGCCCGCGGCGAAAGCGCGUCCCUGGACCCCACCUGACGCUGAGACGCGAAAGCCAGGGGAGCGAACGGGAUUAGAUACCCCGGUAGUC